rnacentral:rRNA from 1 species
CAUAGCGACUAUCGUGGCAUAUCAAUAACGGAGGAAAAGAAACUAACAAGGAUUCCCCUAGUAACGGCGAGUGAAGCGGGAAGAGCUCAAAUUUGAAAUCUUCAAGGUUUGACCUUGACGAAUUGUAGUUUAAAGAAGUGUUUUCGGUUAGAGGAGUAGUAAAAGUUCUUUGGAAUAGGACAUCAUAGAGGGUGAGAAUCCCGUAUUUGACUAUUCUUUCUAGCUUUGUGAUACACUUUCAAAGAGUCGGAUUGUUUGGGAAUGCAGUCCAAAAUGGGUGGUAAAUUUCAUCUAAAGCUAAAUAUUGGCGAGAGACCGAUAGCGAACAAGUACCGUGAGGGAAAGAUGAAAAGAACUUUGAAAAGAGAGUUAGACAGUACGUGAAAUUGUCAAAAGGGAAGCGUUUGACACCAGUGUUGUUUUUCCGAAAAUCAAUUAAAAAUUGAUUCAUGCCAGGUUGUAUUGACCUUAUCAGCUUGCAAUUUGGUUUUGGGUCUCUUUUUGAUGCACUUUUCGGUUAACAAGUCAACAUCAAUUUCCUUUGCUGUAAAAAGGUAAGAGGAAGGUGGCUUCAAUUUCGGUUGAAGUGUUUAUAGCCUUUUAUCUCUGCAGUCGGGGAGAUUGAGGUCUGCAGCGUAGAUCCUUCGGGGCUAGAUACAUUUAUGCUAAGUUAUAGCUUUUCAUAGACAACUUGUUGACUAUGUGUAGUCAUGUAGCUUACUCGUAAGUGCUAUAUUACCUACGCUUAGGAUGUUGAUAGUCACAGCGUGUAC